rnacentral:rRNA from 1 species
AUUGAACGCUGGCGGCAGGCCUAACACAUGCAAGUCGAGCGGAGCGGCGGACGGGUGAGUAAUGCCAAGGAAUCUGCCUGGUAGUGGGGGAUAACGUUCGGAAACGGGAGCUAAUACCGCAUACUAUCAGAUGAGCCUAGGUCGAAUUGGCUAGGUGGUGGGGGAAAGGCCUACCAAGGCGACGAUCCGUAACUGGUCUGAGAGGAUGAUCAGUAACACUGGAACGGUGACACGGUCCAGAUUCCUACGGGAGGCAGCAGUGGGGAAUAUUGGACAAUGGGCGAAAGCCUGAUCCAGCCAUGCCGCGUGUGUGAAGAAGGUCUUCGGAUUGUAAAGCACUUUAAGUUGGGAGGCGUUACCAACAGAAUAAGCACCGGCUAACUUCGUGCCAGCAGCCGCGGUAAUUC